rnacentral:rRNA from 1 species
UGGGGUGACUGCGUACCUUUUGUAUAAUGGGUCAGCGACUUAUAUUCUGUAGCAAGGUUAACCGUAUAGGGGAGCCGUAGGGAAACCGAGUCUUAACUGGGCGAAUGAGUUGCAGGGUAUAGACCCGAAACCCGGUGAUCUAUCCAUGGGCAGGUUGAAGGUUGGGUAACACUAACUGGAGGACCGAACCGACUAAUGUUGAAAAAUUAGCGGAUGACUUGUGGAUGGGGGUGAAAGGCCAAUCAAACCGGGAGAUAGCUGGUUCUCCCCGAAAGCUAUUUAGGUAGCGCCUCGUGAACUCAUCUUCGGGGGUAGAGCACUGUUUCGACUAGGGGGUCAUCCCGACUUACCAACUCGAUGCAAACUGCGAAUACCGAAGAAUGUUAUCACGGGAGACACACGGCGGGUGCUAACGUCCGUCGUGAAGAGGGAAACAACCCAGACCGCCAGCUAAGGUCCCAAAGUCAUGGUUAAGUGGGAAACGAAGUGGGAAGGCUCAGACAGCCAGGAUGUUGGCUUAGAAGCAGCCAUCAUUUAAAGAAAGCGUAAUAGCUCACUGGUCGAGUCGGCCCGCGCGGAAGAUGUAACGGGGCUAAACCAUGCACCGAAGCUGCGGCAGCGAACACUAU